UCCUAGAUUUACGAGGAAGCCUCUACCCCAACAGAUCGACCAUGUUGAUCUAACUUCUCUAAGCCAGUUUCUGUCUGAUAUGCCGGC